rnacentral:rRNA from 1 species
UUCUCCUACGGGACGCAGCAGUGAGGAAUAUUGGUCAAUGGGCGGGAGCCUGAACCAGCCAAGCCGCGUGAAGGAAGAAGGCGCCAGGCGUCGUAAACUUCUUUUGUCGGGGAACAAAGGGCGCCACGUGUGGCGUUGUGAGUGUACCCGAAGAAAAAGCAUCGGCUAACUCCGUGCCAGCAGCCGCGGUAAUACGGAGGAUGCGAGCGUUAUCCGGAUUUAUUGGGUUUAAAGGGAGCGUAGGUGGAUUGUUAAGUCAGUUGUGAAAGUUUGCGGCUCAACCGUAAAAUUGCAGUUGAAACUGG